GAAAAAGCGGCGAACACGCAGCAUCCCUUCCACCCAGCGCCGGAUACCCGCGAUCCACGCGGGGACUCUCGCCGUGUCCGGCUCGCUCAGCCCGUGGGCAGCCCCCGGGGCCGCGGUGGAGCCCCUCCGCGCCGCUUCCCGGUGCCCACCUCUCCACUCCGCCCGGCGCUCUUGUUGCGCGGAGCCGCCGCCUCUCAGCCCUGCGGGAGCAAAGCCGGCGGAGUUUGCCCGGCCGGUGGGUACCUCCUCUUCCUUCCCCUCCCCGGGGGUUUUAUUUUUUUAGCUCUUCCCUUUUUUUUUUUUUUUUUUUUUGGCUGCUGCUUUGCUCUCCGCGGCGCGGAUGCAUACAGACCUGUCCUCGGGAAACAGCUCCCGGCGCUCCCACAAAAACUCCAACCCAAACAAAACGCCCACUUGGAUAAUUAAGACGGUAUUUGGCACAUGCAAUUUCUACUUCCAUUCUCAUCCCUGGGCCACCUGGUACAGAUGUUAACUUUCUAAGGCUGAUGCAAACAUGAAAGGUGAAUCCCUGCUGCAGAGGAUAACAUCAACACGUCACAUUCGCUCCUCUUCCACCAAACUCUUCUGAGGCCAGUUCUACUUGAGAGUUGUCUUGGCUGGAAAACACAGAGCGCCUGGUAAUGCUGGCGGGGUAGCAAAGGAAGGACCACAGCCUUCUGCAGGGAGACGUGCCAAAGGAA
rnacentral:lncRNA from 1 species